rnacentral:rRNA from 1 species
UAGGGAAUCUUCGGCAAUGGACGGAAGUCUGACCGAGCAACGCCGCGUGAGUGAAGAAGGUUUUCGGAAUCGUAAAGCUCUGUUGUAAGAGAAGAACGAGUGUGAGAGUGGAAAGUUCACACUGUGACGGUAUCUUACCAGAAAGGGACGGCUAACUACGUGCCAGCAGCCGCGGUAAUACGUAGGUCCCGAGCGUUGUCCGGAUUUAUUGGGCGUAAAGCGAGCGCAGGCGGUUAGAUAAGUCUGAAGUUAAAGGCUGUGGCUUAACCAUAGUACGCUUUGGAAACUGUUUAACUUGAGUGCAAGAGGGGAGAGUGGAAUUCCAUGUGUAGCGGUGAAAUGCGUAGAUAUAUGGAGGAACACCGGUGGCGAAAGCGGCUCUCUGGCUUGUAACUGACGCUGAGGCUCGAAAGCGUGGGGAGCAAACAGGAUUAGAUACCCUGGUAGUCCACGCCGUAAACGAUGAGUGCUAAGUGUUAUGGGGUUUCCGCCCCUUAGGGCUGCAGCUAACGCAUUAAGCACUCCGCCUGGGGAGUACGACGCAAGGUUG